AUACGGAGGAUCCGAGCGUUAUCCGGAUUUAUUGGGUUUAAAGGGUGCGCAGGCGGCCAUUUAAGUCAGCGGUUAAAUCGUGGGGCUCAACCCCAUUCUGCCGUUGAUACUGGGUGGCUUGAUUGCGGUCGAGGUUGGCGGAAUUCGUUGUGUAGCGGUGAAAUGCAUAGAUAUGACGAAGAACACCGAUUGCGUAGGCAGCUGACCAGACCGCAAAUGACGCUCAUGCACGAAAGUGCGGGGAUCGAACAGGAUGAGAUACCCUGGUAGUCCGCACAGUAAACGAUGAAUACUUGUUUUCGGCGAUAUAAUGUCGGAGGCAAAGCGAAAGCGAUAAGUAUUCCACCUGGGGAGUACGCCGGCAACGGUGAAACUCAAAUGAAUUGGCGGGG
rnacentral:rRNA from 1 species